rnacentral:rRNA from 1 species
UUCCGGUUGAUCCUGCCGGACCUGACUGCUAUCGGAUUGAUACUAAGCCAUGUGAGUCAUUGUAGCAAUACAAGGCAGACGGCUCAGUAACACGUAGUCAAUCUACCCUAUGGACGGGGAUAACCUCGGGAAACUGAGGAUAACACCCGAUAGAUCAUAAUUCCUGGAAUGGUUUAUGGUCCAAACGAUUCGUCGCCGUAGGAUGGGACUGCGGCCUAUCAGCUUGUUGGUGAGGUAAUGGCCCACCAAGGCUAUUACAGGUACGGGCUCUGAGAGGAGAAGCCCGGAGAUGGGUACUGAGACACGGACCCAGGCCCUAUGGGGCGCAGCAGGCGAGAAACCUUUGCAAUGUGCGCAAGCACGACAAGGUUAAUCCGAGUGUUUCCUGCUAAGGGAAUCUUUUGUUAGUUGUAAAACCACUAUCGAAUAAGGGGUGGGCAAGUUCUGGUGCCAGCCGCCGCGGUAAAACCAGCACCUCAAGUGGUCAGGAGGAUUAUUGGGCCUAAAGCAUCCGUAGCCUGUUCUGUAAGUUUUCGGUUAAAUCCACUAGCUCAACUAGUGGGCUGCCGAAAAUACUGUAGAACUAGGGAGUGGGAGAGGUAGACGGUAUUCGGUAGGAAGGGGUAAAAUCCUUUGAUCUAUUGAGGACCACCUGUGGCGAAGGCGGUCUACCAGAACACGUUCGACGGUGAGGGGUGAAAGCUGGGGGAGCAAACCGGAUUAGAUACCCGGGUAGUCCCAGCUGUAAACGAUGCAGACUCGGUGAUGCCCUGGCUUGUGGCCAGUGCAGUGCCGCAGGGAAGCCGUUAAGUUUGCCGCCUGGGAAGUACGUACGCAAGUAUGAAACUUAAAGGAAUUGGCGGGGGAGCAC